CAAAGGAGCGAUCCGGUGGCGGAUGGGCAUGCGGCGCAUUAGCUAGACGGCGGGGUGACGGCCCACCGUGGCGACGAUGCGUAGGGGUUCUGAGAGGAAGGCCCCCCACACUGGGACUGAGACACGGCCCAGACUCCUACGGGAGGCAGCAGUGAGGAAUAUUGGUCAAUGGGCGGAAGCCUGAACCAGCCAAGUCGCGUGAGGGAUUAAGGCCCUGCGGGUCGUAAACCUCUUUUGCCGGGGAGCAGUGGUCCGGACGCGUCCGGGCCGGGAGAGUACCCGGAGAAAAAGCAUCGGCUAACUCCGUGCCAGCAGCCGCGGUAAUACGGAGGAUGCGAGCGUUAUCCGGAUUUAUUGGGUUUAAAGGGUGCGUAGGCGGGCAUUUAAGCCGGCGGUCAAAUGUCGGGGCUCAACCCCGGCCUGCCGUCGGAACUGGGUGCCUUGAGUGGGCGAGAAGUAUGCGGAAUGCGUGGUGUAGCGGUGAAAUGCAUAGAUAUCACGCAGAACCCCGAUUGCGAAGGCAGCAUACCGGCGCCCUACUGACGCUGAGGCACGAAAGUGCGGGUAUCGAACAGGAUUAGAUACCCUGGUAGUCCGCACAGUAAACGAUGGAUGCUAUCUGUCCGGGCCGAAUGAGGCCUGGGUGGC
rnacentral:rRNA from 1 species